AAUAUCUUCUCACUGAAGUGCAGGAAUUCGAGAGAGAAAGAGAGACAGACAGAUGGAGAGGCAAACAGAGAGACUGCAGUCUCAGAAGGAAACUUUGAGAGAGCUCUGCUUGAAACAGGAGCUUUGGCAGGCAAAGAACAUUGAGGAACAGCCAGACUUCUGUUUCCACAGGAGCCGUGGUGGGACCCUGGUGAGGGAACAGAACCAAGGAAUGUUUCCUAUCAGAGAGAUUCCUGCUUUCCUGGCAAGAGGCACUGCAGACUGUUUCUAAAAAGAAUUGCCACAACUAACAGCAAGCAUUUCUCCAAGCACUAGCUGCCAAUGCAGCCAGUUGUAAACAGAAUAGAAUACUACUG